AUUCAGCUGAUGAGUCCCAAAUGGGACCAAACGCGUGUCUUUGAU
rnacentral:hammerhead_ribozyme from 1 species